CCGGCUAACUACGUGCCAGCAGCCGCGGUAAUACGUAGGGUCCAAGCGUUAAUNGGAAUUACUGGGCGUAAAGCGUGCGCAGGCGGUUGUGCAAGACCGAUGUGAAAUCCCCGAGCUNNNCUUGGGAAUUGCAUUGGUGACUGCACGGCUAGAGUGUGUCAGAGGGGGGUAGAAUUCCACGUGUAGCAGUGAAAUGCGUAGAGAUGUGGAGGAAUACCGAUGGCGAAGGCAGCCCCCUGGGAUAACACUGACGCUCAUGCACGAAAGCGUGGGGAGCAAACAGGAUUAGAUACCCUGGUAGUCCACGCCCUAAACGAUGUCAACUAGUUGUUGGGGAUUCAUUUCCUUAGUAACGUAGCUAACGCGUGAAGUUGACCGCCUGGGGAGUACGGUCGCAAGAUUAAAACUCAAAGGAAUUGACGGGGACCCGCACAAGCGGUGGAUGAUGUGGAUUAAUUCGAUGCAACGCGAAAAACCUUACCUACCCUUGACAUGCCACUAACGAAGCAGAGAUGCAUUAGGUGCUCGAAAGAGAAAGUGGACACAGGUGCUGCA
rnacentral:rRNA from 1 species